ACAAUUUCUCUCUCCCGUCUCCCCCUCCUUCCACCCCGGGGUUUUUGAGGGAUUUCUAAACAGUUUUUUACGCUUCACCUGGGGGCGCCUUUUAAACCCGUUUUUUAAAAAAAAUAUUUUCCUUGGGGAAAAAGGGGGGGGUCUUUCAUAUCCCACUAGCGGAGAGAAAAAGGUUCUCCGUUCUGAAACCCCCGCCCCUCGUCUUUUUUCCCUAACUGAGGAAAAAGAAACCAACAGGGAUUGCCUUAGUAACGGCGAGUGAAGUGGCAAAAGCUCGAAUUUGAAAUCUGCCGCCCGGCCGAGUUGUAAUUUGCAGAGGAAUCUUUGGGUAAAAUUCGCUCCAAGUCCCCUGGAACGGGGUGCCAUAGAGGGUGAGAGCCCCGUUGGAGAUGUUGUUUAGCCUGCAUGAAGAUCCUUCAACGAGUCGAGUAGUUUGGGAAUGCUGCUCUAAAUGGGAGGUAAAUUCCUUCUAAAGCUCAAUAUUAGCCAGAGACCGAUAGCGCACAAGUAGAGUGAUCGAAAGAUGAAAAGCACUUUGAAAAGAGAGUUAAAAGCACGUGAAAUUGUUGAAAGGGAAGUACUUGUAACCAGACAUGCACUAUGUGGAUUCGCUACUGUUACCAGUGGUGUACUCUGCUUAGAGUAGGCUAACAUGAGUUUUUCAAGGGGGAUAAAAGCAGUAGGAAUGUAACUCGUUGAGUAUUAUAGACUAUUGUAAAAUACCCCUAGGAAAACUGAGGAAAGCGUUUUGCAAGGAUGUUGGCGUAAUGGUUUCUAGUAACCCGUCUUAAAAACGGGGGAACCCUCGUUGUUUGAAGGAGGGGUUUUCUAUACCCUCGGUUUUUUAAAAAACCGAACAUAUUUGUUUUUUAAAAAACCGGCCCUCAUUUUCCCUCCGGAAAAUGGACAAACAACAAAUGGGGUUUAAAAAAGGGCCGGAGAUUUUUGUGGGAAAAAAGGGGGGAGAGAGGUCCGGGGAAAUAGGAGCCAUAGUGCUUGCUCCCCCGCAUGGAAUUAUAGUCGAGGCAAUAGAGCCCCUUUACGCGACGCGGGGUGUCUGGGUAUGUCGCCCCUAAUGGGGCGAGGAAUUUCCCUUCUGAGCGUGCUCUUUUAUGCUCGAGCACGCAGAUGACUCUAGUAAUGGAUCUCUCUAGCAGUCAUGAGACUUUUUGAUACACAG
rnacentral:rRNA from 1 species